rnacentral:rRNA from 1 species
GUGCCAGCCGCCGCGGUAAUACGAAGGGGGCUAGCGUUGCUCGGAAUUACUGGGCGUAAAGGGCGCGUAGGCGGACAGUUUAGUCAGAGGUUAAAGCCCAGGGCUCAACCUUGGAAUCGCCUUUGAUACUGGCUGUCUUGAGUACGGGAGAGGUGUGUGGAACUCCGAGUGUAGAGGUGAAAUUCGUAGAUAUUCGGAAGAACACCAGUGGCGAAGGCGACACACUGGCCCGUUACUGACGCUGAGGCGCGAAAGCGUGGGGAGCAAACAGGAUUAGAUACCCUCGUAGUCC